rnacentral:rRNA from 1 species
GAUGAACGCUGGCGGCGUGCCUAAUACAUGCAAGUCGAGCGGACCAAAGAGAGCUUGCUCUCUGAGGUUAGCGGCGGACGGGUGAGUAACACGUGGGUAACCUGCCUGUAAGACGGGGAUAACUUCGGGAAACCGAAGCUAAUACCGGAUGAUAAAGAGAAACGCCUGUUUCUUUUUUGAAAGUCGGCCUUGUGCUGACGCUUACAGAUGGGCCCGCGGCGCAUUAGCUAGUUGGUGAGGUAACGGCUCACCAAGGCGACGAUGCGUAGCCGACCGGAGAGGGUGAUCGGCCACACUGGGACUGAGACACGGCCCAGACUCCUACGGGAGGCAGCAGUAGGGAAUCUUCGGCAAUGGACGAAAGUCUGACCGAGCAACGCCGCGUGAGCGAUGAGGGCCUUCGGGUCGUAAGCUCUGUUGUCAGAGAAGAACAAGUACCGGAGUGACUGCCGGUACCUUGACAGUACCUGACCAGAAAGCCACGGCUAACUACGUGCCAGCCGCCGCUGUAA